UCGCGACGGUGAGGCACCCAACUGCCGUAAACUCUAGACUAGGACAGUUUUAUUAACCGCCGCCCUUCCCCUAUUUAAGGUCGCGACGGGUAUUGCACCUGCCGUCCCUUAUAAAACCAUAUUAAACCCCGGUAAAACGCCAAAUUCAUUUAAAAUAUUUCCCUUUCUUCAAUGGUAAAAAGUUUCCUUCAAUCUCCACAAAUAACAACAACACCAUUUGAAGAACAUCACCGAUUCAAAGAACUUUCAUGUUAUUGGCUUGAUCAUUCGAAGAACCUCACCGAUUGAAGGGUACUAACUGAUUCGAAGAACAUCACCGCCUUCGUUCCCUCUUCGCUCCUUCUUCGUUCUUUGGAAUUAUUAUCCUAUGUUGAUGGCUACGUUGAAGGUUGCUCCUGCUCUUGCUAUGAGAUGUGUUGCGAUAUUGAAGCCAUCGGAGUUGGUGUCUUUUUUCAGAACCUGCUUGGAGUUGUGCGAAACAUGCAAAGAAGUGGGCCUCCUUCCAGGUGUUUUGAGACCACUCUUAUAAGGGCUAAAUUAGAAGAAUUAUAUUCAGAUCUUCUUGACAGGUAACAAUAACUUACUGAAUAUAUUUUCACCCUCUAAUUUAAAAUACCCUGUCUCUGAGCUUGAUUGUUACAAAUAGAUAUUCUUGCUUAAACUAUUCAUACUUAGGACACCAGUAUCAAAUUCAUUGGGGGAUGAGAAGCUCUCAAUUAAGGAUAUUGAUGAGGUUAUUCUUGUUGGUGGAUCAACACAUAUUCCUGCUAUUUAGGAGCUUAUUGAUGCCGAUUGGGAAGGACCCAAAUGUCAUUGUUAAUCCAGGUGUAGUGGUUGUCCUGGGAGAUGCUGUUUUAGUUUUUCCAAUUUAAAUUAAGCUGUAGUGAUGCAGGAAAGAAUGGUUGUUUGAUUGGAGUGCUAUUAAAAUAUUUGUUUGGGUACUAUGUUUUAAUUGUUGAUUGUUAUUAUAAUUAUUAUUAUCAUCACUAUCCUUAUGUUUAAUUUUGGUUGGUUUCAUACUGGUGUCUUGGCUGGAGAUGUCAGUGACAUUGUGUUGUUGGAUGUUUCUCCAUUGUCAUUGGGUUUGGAAACUCUUGGUAGUGUGAUGACCAAGAUUAUUCCAAGAAACACUACCAAUUGACAUUGAUGUAAAUUGUAUUCUAUCAAUUGCUGCCAUAGACAAGGGUUCAUGGAAGAAACAGGAUACUCCCAUUACUGUGGCAAGCACCUUUCCUGCUGAUGAGGCAUCUUCUAAAUAAUUGGGUUUUCCUUGCAGUUAAUCAUUUUAUCUUGAUUUGAUGUAGGCUUUUAAAGCUGGAAUUAUAUGGGUCAAUUGCUCUCAACCAUGCUUCACUCAAGCUCCGUGGGGAGGCGUCAAUUAUAGUAGUUUUAGUCGUGAACUAGGAGAAUGUCAUAAGGUGAAGUCAUUGCAUUUUGAAUGCUCCUGUACCCAUCCCCUGUUGACAAUUUAUUGAUCAUCAAAUUCUACACUUGGGUUGUGUUUCUUAAAUACAAUUAUGAACUGUUGUUGGUGAUCGUUAUGACAUGUAGCUGCUGACCAAAAUGGUGACUCAAAAGUAUUUCUUAAAAACUACUGCUAUGUGCACAAGUUGUGUAUGAUGGUGAUAUUCCAACAGCAAGAGGAUGGAUGGAUAAUGUAUUGAUGAAAAUGGUGUUGGAUGCCGGAGAACAAAUCCAAAGUUAAGUGCUUACUUGUUGGAAGGGUUUAGAGCAAGGUUGAAAUCUUCCAGAGUCUUUGAUCUACAUGGCGUUGAAAUGUGAACAAACUACAAGCAAAAAGCUAUUGAUGCUUAUUAUUAUAAAAUUAGAAUCUGAUAUAUUUUUGGUUUAUAGUACUACGUGACGACAUGAUUAUGGAACUCAUAUUUUUUUUGACAUAUGAUGUUUAAUUGA